GCUCCUAUGGCUCAGUGGUAGAGCGUGUGCCUAGUAUUUCUCAAUUCGAGUCGUACGGUUCAGCACAAGGUCCACGGUUCGAUCCCGUGUGGGAGCA